rnacentral:rRNA from 1 species
GACGAACGCUGGCGGCGUGCUUAACACAUGCAAGUCGAGCGGAAAGGCCCCUUUGGGGGUACUCGAGCGGCGAACGGGUGAGUAACACGUGAGUAACCUGCCCCAGGCUUUGGGAUAACCCUCGGAAACGGGGGCUAAUACCGGCUAGGACCUGCUGCCGCAUGGUGGUGGGUGGAACGUUUUUUCGGCUUGGGAUGGGCUCGCGGCCUAUCAGCUUGUUGGUGGGGUGAUGGCCUACCAAGGCGACGACGGGUAGCCGGCCUGAGAGGGCGACCGGCCACACUGGGACUGAGACACGGCCCAGACUCCUACGGGAGGCAGCAGUGGGGAAUAUUGCACAAUGGGCGCAAGCCUGAUGCAGCGACGCCGCGUGAGGGAUGACGGCCUUCGGGUUGUAAACCUCUUUCAGCAGGGACGAAGCCUUUUGGGGUGACGGUACCUGCAGAAGAAGCGCCGGCCAACUACGUGCCAGCAGCCGCCGUAA